rnacentral:rRNA from 1 species
AUACGGAGGGAGCAAGCGUUAUUCGGAAUCACUGGGCGUAAAGGACGCGUAGGCGGGUUUGUAAGUCAGGUGUGAAAUCCUACAGCUCAACUGUAGAACUGCACUUGAAACUACAGACCUAGAGUAUGGAAGGGGCAGAUGGAAUUAGUGGUGUAGGGGUAAAAUCCGUAGAUAUCACUAGGAAUACCGAAAGCGAAGGCGACCUGCUGGGACAUUACUGACGCUGAGGCGUGAAAGCGUGGGGAGCAAACAGGAUUAGAUACCCCAGUAGUCC